CUGUCUGUCUGUCUGUCUGUCUGUCAGUCAACAGUGACCCGGUCAGACUUCAGUCCGGACUGCUUUUCGAUCUGAACUCAGUGACUCGUCUUCACCUCAGAGAAGAUCUUUGAACACUUUUCCCUCCACACUCGCCUCCUCUCCUGCCUCCUAAUUCCUCUCCUCCUCUCCUUGCCUCUCCUCCUUCUCCUUCCUCUCCUUGUAUCCUCUGUCCUCGUUGUAAUAUCCCGUGUGUGCUGACAGUGAAAACAUCAGGGGUCAAAGGUCAGUGAGUGUUGGCCUCUCUCCUCUCUGAUAUGAAUUCCUCUCUAAUCACUGCAGAUAUAAAUACUUUGUGUAUAAAUACUUCAUAUGUGUACUCUGUGUGUGUGAGAGAGAAUGAGUGAGCUCCCAUCAUGCAUCACUCUGACCAUAACACUGUGUGACAGCAGGCGUGUGUGUGUGUGUGUGUGUGUGUGUGUGUGUGUGUGUGUCUCAUGUUUAAACUCUUCAGAGCAGCUUCAGUUCAAGAACUCUGAGGACUCAGGACUCUCUCUGUCCUGGUCUCUGAUUGGACACAUGAAAACCCCUCAUUUCAGCUCCUGUCUCUCUAAGAGGCUUCAGAGACCUUCAACAUUCUAGAACCCUCAACAUUCAAUGACUCCACCAUUCUGUAGAUCUACACGUUCUAGAUUCCACCUCAGGAGCUGUAGAGAAAAAAGAGGACUUGAGCACAAACCAGUCUGACAGUAACUACAUGUCAACAUCACAACCAGGGGGGAGAAACAUUUAUAUUCUGUGUCAUUCAUUUAUAAAGUUUGUCCACAGCUCCAUAAGGAGGCGGGGUUUAUGACCUAUACUGCAGCCCGUCACCAGAGGGCGCUGUUCUUACAGAGGAGGAGGAAGCAGACGGCGUCUGUUCUUUAUACAGCUCAUGGUCUGAACACUAAACAUCAGUCAGCUGUUCUCUGUGUGACCUUUGACACCUGUGACAUCAUCGUCGGUGUAACCAUG